GCUCAGCUUGCCCUACUGUGUAGUUCAGUGCGUCACCGUAGGGAUAGGAGCGCCGCCACCGUCUCCAGGUACGUCCUCGACCAGGUCGUGCUCGGGCUGCCCUCGGGCAUGCCCACGCCAUAGACCAGGUCAUGAUCUCGUGUUUGAAUGCCUUCCGAGGUCUCCCUGAAGUCUGAUCUGAUGCCCUUGUUGAACCCAUCCCUUACUCUCCGCCAGCUGGGUCUCAUUCGAUGCUGACGCUUACUACCAUAGUGUGCUUCAGGAGAUCAACAGCAUGCUGAGAUGGAAGCAACUAAAAGCAUCAGUUUUGCCAUUACACGACGGCAUGCAAAAGUAGCACGUCAUCAAUCACACCUGACAACACAUACAAAAUCCAUUAAUUUGCAAUUCUUCAGUUGACGCACUUGAACAAAAGCAUCAGUUUUCUACAUUGUGACGAUCACAAGCAUCUAAUUAUGCUUCUCAAAGUUUGUAAUCAUGUGAUGCAUCCUUGAAAUCAGUUUGUUCUCCACCAUUGAGUAUCAUACUCCUUCCGUCCCAAAAUAAGUGUCUUAACCUUGGUACAAAGUUGAGACAUUUAUUUUGAGACGGAGGGAGUACAUGAUACAUCAAUGUGUUAGGUAUAAAUUUCCUGCACUAAAACAUGUACGACAACCAAACUGCCACAUUCAUUCAGUACAACUCAUCCUGCUUCAGCAUCGAAGUUUUGAGGGGCCAUGAGUGUAGAGGUAGCCAAGUCGUCGUCACAUUAAGGCAGAGUGAGGACGUAAUUAGCUCAUUAGGAGGAGUUCAAUUGUUUCCCCAAAUUUCCUUCCACGAUUUUGUAACCCUUUGCAGAAUUGCAUGGGGAGGUUCGCAACAUUGUCUACUCAUUUGAUAGGAAAUCAGUAUCUAUUGUCUAUCAUGUGACUAUGGAACUGAUGCAAAGUACCCUUCUUUGCAUGGGAGUUAUAUGUGGUUCAGUUUGCAGAAUCUUGUUUGGUUUUACAUUGAUCUUGCAUGCUCAGUUUUUGGGCAUAUAACCAGUUUGUAGGUCCUACUAUUUGAUCUGUGGACGUGACCAAUGAGGGCAUGGAGAUUAUGGCGAGGCAUGGUGAUGCGGUGGCAGUGGUGAAGGUAACCACAUCGAAGGCAGCGGCAAUGGGUGGUUGUCGAUGAAAGCAACAUGGGGAUGGGGGAGGUGGAGAGGCGAGGGAUGGAGGCGGAGGAGGGCAGCCAGGGAGACGGAGUGGCAGUGAGAUUGGACGAGCUCGCCUGCGGAGUGCGUGGGCAAGAUUUCCUUUCCGGGUUGGGCGAGGGCUUCUUUUUUUUUUGUGUGUGUGCAUGUGUGAGUUCACACCGAUACUCGACCAAAUACUGUGCAUGGUUAUCUGAAAUUCUAGACAAUAGUUCACAUCCCAGUGGCAGGUAAGAACCUUCUUUUUAAUUUAUCAAAUGGCGUCAAUAGACCAUAAAAUUAUCUUCAUUUAUAAUACUAAAGAUAUGUCAAUACAUGUUCUUACAUUUAGGCUCCUAAACCUGUUGAAUGAGUUCUAUAUACAAGAUUUAUAUUGUCCUUCUAUAAAUUAAGACUACACUUGCUAUUGAUGAGUCUAUAAUUGUCAACCUGGACAGUAACAACACACUAUCGUUUUAUCUCUCAAUGUGAGCAAGUAAGAUUUUUUUUCAGAGCUUUAUUCUUUUGUAUUAUUUUUCUAUUACAGAAGUUGAUGCUCCAUCUUGUUAUUCAUUUCCUGGGAUCAUUUCUCGAGGAAUGUACGGAUUUCUCGAAGUGACGCAAUGCUAUGAUCUUCAACCAUGAAAAUGAAACUGUCAGCGCUGAUGGCCUGCUCCUGUGAUCUCAUAGCUUCACCAAUGGUGAUAGCAUUGUGUCAAGGAGCAGGUGGAGAGGGAGAAAGAGAAAGGGAGAAUGGAAGCCAAGUGAUAGACAAAGAGAGUGAAAGGUAUUUGGUUCAAAAUAUAUUUUUCUACUGUUAACCGAUAGCAUGGAUAUCACUAUUUAUGAUCAUGAUGUCCAUAAGAAAUCAUCAUGACAUGUCGAAUCCUCAACCACUCAGUUAGAUGUUGAUGGAUCUGCAUCACAGCUUCUGUUGAACUCUCAUGGUUGGAGAUACUGCAAGAAUUCUGAUUCGGCACGGCCCUCAUGGAGACAAUGGAGAUGGUGUUCAGCGGUGCGCUCAGCCAGAGUUCGUCGUACGUCCGACAUUUGCAGAUUCGGCAGGGCCCUCAUGGAAACAAAUUCAGGGCGCAGAGAAACUAAUGGAGCAACCAGGAGUCCAAUCAUUUUAAGGCAGAACAUUGAACAUAUCAGUGAUCGGACACUCGAGACAACUCUUAAUGAGUUCUAGCAACCAAAGACAGAAUAUUUGCGUAGGAUGCAACAAAGCUGCAUGUCAUGAGAUUAUUGAAUACGUUGAGUAAUUUGGAAUGGAAACAUUUUUGGUUAAAUAGGAUGCUCUUGAGAUUAUUUCUCAUGCCAACAUGGCAUGCCCGAGCUAAAAAUGUGCCACCCUUUGACAGGACCAUGCCUUGUUAGAGGAGGUUUCUGGUUGGAUAAAUGAGAAGGCCAUGAUGCCUAUUUGGGCUAAGAUGACUCCUAACAUUGCAGGUAUUACAGAUGGAACUUAAGCUUCCAUAAUGCAUUUGUUGAGUAAUUAGCAGUCACAUAUCUUCUGUGUUUUUAAUUGCUAUACGGUGUCAACAAAUGAUGAGGUUCUAAAUUAUUAUUUUUAUCAUUGCCUA